rnacentral:lncRNA from 1 species
UUUUAAAAGCAUGUCUAUAAGGAGGAAGAAAUAAAAACAAUUUAGCUCGAGUAAACAACAGCAACAAUAAUAAGAGCAACAGCAAAAUUCCUUAACGAGAAAAAGCGAUGAUUUAUGUAAAAAGAAAACAAGGCUAAACAAAAACACCCCAACCCAAAACAACAACGUCUGUAUCUACUAGUUGUAAGGAUCUUAAGCCAUAAAGUAUGAAAUCUCCUCCUCCCCAAAACGUGAUAUUCCAUCUCGCAACUCCAAAAUUUCAUAAACAUCAAACAACAGUAAAAGGAUGUUAUCAUUACCCCUGACUUUUAACGAAAGUCACAACGCAAGAGAAAGCGCAAUGUGCAUCUUGGUUCAUAGAGACCACAUUAGACACUCAAGUCCAGCGAAAUUACCGUACAAAGUAUGUGUUAACAUCCGCACAUGUCAUAAAAUGUUUAUGAAAACAAGAAGAGUCCUACAGAAAACAGGCGCUGGGUGAGCAAGGACAUCUGUGGAAGAACUGCGAAUUUGAGCAGGAUUUCAUCGUAGUCAUACUUAGUCCAUUUGUAAUGCAAGUUGACAGAUGAAAGAGAUCCUUGAGAAGAAUAUAAUGGUGAAAUAUUUGUCAAGAAAUAUUAAUUACAACAAAUGUUGCGAG